rnacentral:rRNA from 1 species
AUGUUUGAAGAAGUCAUUUUAUCUUCUCUCAUGAAAAUCAUUGAGUUGCUUAAAGUUUCUGAAUUUGAAAUAUUUUCCAAAUGGAAUUCAAAUCUUUUCAAACCCCUUUUUCAUUUAAUUAAAUGGAAGAAGUCAUAUCAUCUUCACUCUAGGGUUUUGUGA